AUUUCAGUUUAUCAUGGGAC
rnacentral:piRNA from 1 species